GACGAACGCUGGCGGCGUGCUUAACACAUGCAAGUCGAACGGAAAGGCCCUGCUUUUGUGGGGUGCUCGAGUGGCGAACGGGUGAGUAACACGUGAGUAACCUGCCCUUGACUUUGGGAUAACUUCAGGAAACUGGGGCUAAUACCGGAUAGGAGCUCCUGCUGCAUGGGGGGGGUUGGAAAGUUUCGGCGGUUGGGGAUGGACUCGCGGCUUAUCCGCUUGUUGGUGGGGUAGUGGCUUACCAAGGCUUUGACGGGUAGCCGGCCUGAGAGGGUGACCGGCCACAUUGGCACUGGGGUACGGCCCAGACUCCUACGGGAGGCAGCAGUGAGGACUAUUGCACAAUGGGCGGAGGCCUGAUGCAGCAACGCCGCGUGCGGGAUGACGGCCUUCGGGCUGUAAACCGCUUUCGCCUGUGACGAAGCGUGAGUGACGGUAAUGGGUAAAGAAGCACCGGCUAACUACGU
rnacentral:rRNA from 1 species